UACACUCUCUUCCACUUCGUGGCUGUGACCUGUAAGUUUGUGAGAAAUGGAGAAAAUGGGUGAUCUUGUCGGGUCAAGACAAUCGGAUCUUAACAAGUCUUUGAAGCUCGCAAUUCGUUCUCUUCUCACUACUUGCUCAAAACAAGAAUUCAGCAAAGCAUUCAAUAACUUUACUUCUUCUGAGCAAGACUCCCUCCACCGCCUAUUCAUCCAGGUGAUUACUUUUUUGCAUGAAAAAAUUGAGGUAUGAU